rnacentral:pre_miRNA from 1 species
GGUGUUUGGAAUGAGGUUUGAUCCAAGAUCAUCACAUCAUAUAUAUAUCUUCUUCUUCAAUUUCCCUUUCCUUCUUGAUUUACUUACCUUCAUACAUAUACUGUUAUUAUUAUCAUCUCUUAAUUCAUGCAUUGGAUGGGACUGAUCUCGGACCAGGCUUCAUUCCUCACACC